rnacentral:rRNA from 1 species
UACGGAGGGUGCGAGCGUUGUCCGGAAUCAUUGGGCGUAAAGGGCGCGUAGGUGGCGGGACAAGCGUGCGGUGAAAGCCUGGGGCUCAACCCCGGGUCGGCCGUGCGAACUGUUUUGCUUGAGCACUGUAGAGGCAGGCGGAAUUCCGGGUGUAGCGGUGGAAUGCGUAGAGAUCCGGAAGAACACCGGUGGCGAAGGCGGCAUCCUGGACCGAGAUUGACGCUGAACGACGAAAGCUAGGGGAGCAAACAGG